GGCGCGAUCGCGCGGUAUGGCGCCGAAAGGUAUUACCGUGAGGAAAGUCCGGGCUUCACAGGGAAGGAUAACGGAUAACGUCCGCCGGGGGUGACCCCAGGGAAAGUGCAACAGAGAUAUACCGCCGCCGUAAGGCGGUAAGGGUGGAAAGGCGAGGUAAGAGCUCACCGGAACCUACGGUAACGCAGGUUCCCUGUAAACCCUAUCCGAAGCAACGCCUUCGGGAGAGCGGAGCGAUCCGCUACGGUUCCCGCCGGAAUCCCGAUGGCGGCAGAGGGCGCACGCCCUCAAGCCGUUUGGUAACAAACGGCGCAGAUAGAUGACCGCGGCGUGGCAACACGCACAGAACCCGGCUUACAAACCCG
rnacentral:RNase_P_RNA from 1 species